GCGCCCGAGCUCUCUCAAAGUUAAAGUUGGAGCUCUUGGGCUCGACUAGUAUUUUGACUGAAAGUCAAAGAUAUAUAGAUUUGAUUUGAUUUAAAAAGUCAACCGGUUAUUGAUUAACUGGUCUGAAGUUUAAUGAAUGAUUCUUAAUUUCAGUGAAGAGGAGUGAUGCAUAGAGAAGCUGCAGAGAAAUGGUUGUUGGUGGUACAGAGAUUGGACCAGAAUGGUGUGAGGUAAACUUUCAAGUACCAAUACAAAAAGAUGAAAACUUGGUAAGACCAUAUGGUUUAUUUUCUAGAAUUCAAGAUUGUAUUGGUGCAUCCAUCACAUGGCCCUAUCCAUUCAUCUCGGUAGUCCAUGAGGAUUGAGGACGCAUAAUGACUCAAGAUUUUAUGCUUCUUAUUUCUUUAAUUGCUUUUAAUUUGUUUGUUAAAUGUUAAGACUUU